CCCCUGGGAUGGUUUUCUUAAACUUAGAGUUCUGGACAUACUCAGAAUUACGCAUCCAUCUCUACAGAAUAGCAUUGUGCAUUUUCCACCUCUCUUUCACUGGUAAAAUGACUUGGGCUUGAGUGGAAGUAGUAUGUCAGCAUUAAAUAACAUACAGGAGUGACAAAACUGUAGUCUUAACACUUUUUGCAGGGAAUGUGACAACUCUGGAAUGACUUUCAUCUCUAUGAAUUCUUCAAACAUCAGAAGAAUCAAGUCUACUGAGAGCAUACACCGGAAAGCUUAACUACACGGCUGCAGAAAAGUAAAAGAGGGUGUUUUUGAAGGAAAAAUGGUGCACCCAAUGAUGCCUCUAGGAUGCUGUAAUGUACAGUGAUUUUUAUGUUAUUUUGGUGUGCUGCAUCUGUAGAGCUGAAAAUUAGAUGCAGAGUGAAAAUUACUACUGAGAAAAGGCUCAAGGCCCAGCACCAACAAGAAUAAAGCACCUGCCACCACUGAAAUAAAGGAUGUGUAAUCCUUUUGGGGCUGUACACAUGAUCUCCGCAAUGAAUGGUAACCUGUGUGAAGCAAUAAUGAAGGAAUGAUCUGUUCUGUUGUAGCAUACUGUUUAUUUACUGUUGUUUUUUCUAAUGUUAUAAAAUAGUCUGAACAUUAUGAAACUUUUCUGAUAUAACUUCAUGGAUCUUCCUUUUUACCCAAGCUCUUAUACCUUAUUUCACAAUUAAGCCAAUUUAUUAACAAUAAAAAAGUAUUGAAAUACCAAAUAUUGUAAUGAAAACCAUUACAAGAAUUCCUUCCACCAGUAAUAAAAAAGAAAAUUGAAUAGGUAUGUGUUAAAGAAAUAUUUAUAUCGGGCAACACAGUCCCACUGGUAGCAGUAGUGGAGAGCUGAGUGGCUGCAUGGUAAUUAGUGAGAACCAGGAGUGGCUGCACAAGUUUAUGGACUUGUUCCUCAUCUGUCAGUCACUGCAUGGCUAUGUGAAGGACUAUCCACAGUUAUCCAUGUAUUUUAAAGCAGGAUUCAGCAAUUUAUAUCAGUAGGAGAGUAGGGUAAUCCUCCAGCUGCUGUCAGUUCUGCCCCUUCAUCUCUGGUUUAGGAUCAGAGAACAAAAGGGCUGCAGUUUCAUCCCCAUUUUCUCACUUCUUUCCCUCUUUAAUGGUUUUCAGUUCCUCACUGAAUAAAAGGUGCUGGUUCAAUCUGUAUUACAAGUAUUUAUGCACUUCUUGCCACAGAUCAUCCAAGAAAAAUUUCUCCUCUUGGUUCCCCAUCUGCUCUCCAGUAAUCUGAGUAUUUAUCUCAGGCCUGUCUAAGGUAGAAAGUUCUACCAAAGCAAGGAAAGAACAAGUAUUUUUUAUCAUUGGAAAUAUAGAAAAAAGGCCUUUCUACACUAAGCAGCUUACAGGGCCAAAAGUUAGUAAUUUUACAUAAUUAAUAAGUCUUUAUUUCAUCUCUAUUCAUUCACUUGUUCAAAAGAUCUUUCAGGCCAGUUUACUAACUCACAGGCAGACCAGUAAUUAUUGUAGAUUUAAGAUACUUAAAACCAAAAACCUGUCAGGCCUGACAGUUGCACAAGCAGAUCAGAAGAAAGGGCUGACACAUUACUACUUUUUCAGAUUAGCAAAACCUUGGAUGCAGGCUUCCCUCCAUCAUUUCUAAAAUGAUGCUAAUCCCUAGACCUAAGGUUUUGCAAUUUUGUUGCUGGACAGCACCUAUACUAAAAGGAUUUUCCAUUGCUGCUGCCUGCUUAGCAGAUUAGUUACAGGAGGGGACUCUACCGAACAGGCUAUGCUCGACCUACACAGAAUUCCCAGCUGUCCAAAGAUUUUCAUGUUUAGAAAAUUCUUGAUUUGCCUGUGAGACUGCAGGCUCUGAGCUGAUUGAGGGGUGACAAAGGAGAAGGUAGGAAAUUCUUAGUCCUUUCAACAGAGGAAGGAAAUAGAUAAUUUUUAGAACUGCUUUUGUCUCUUUAUUAUGCAGGAUUUGAUGCUGAAAUUUUUAGUUCUCUCAGACCAAAGACUUCUUUUGCCAUUUCUUGCACAAGAUUUCAUACAGAGCACAGUUGUGGAUGUCCCCCCUGAAAUGACACUUUCUGCUCUAUUCACAACAGAGGGCAAUCAGAACUUGCAUCUGAUUCUCCAUCCUCCUAGCAGUUCAUGGAAACAUCCAGCCAGAGACUACUGACACACAGACAGCUGGAAGAUACAGUACCUUAUACAGAGAAGGAAUAUGGGAGUAAGUAAACAGAAGGGGCAGAAAUCCUCACCGUUAGGGAGCUGUGGAACUGACACUGAAAGACUGUGAAGUCAGUAUUUCCCAAGAAUGAGAGAACAUGAGUUCAAGCCACACAUAAAUCCAGAUUUCAGACAGGUAAGACUCUGGAUUACAUGAAAUUCGUGCAGAAAGUACAGGAAAUCUACAGUGAUUUCAUGGAUUUAAAAUCUGUUCUCAAUCAAACUGAGACAAAUCAGUUUAAAAAAAAAAAAACAA